UACGUAGGGUGCGAGCGUUGUUCGGAAUUACUGGGCGUAAAGGGCUCGUAGGCGGCCAACUAAGUCAUACGUGAAAUCCCUAGGCUCAACCUAGGAACUGCGUCUGAUACUGGAUGGCUUGAAUCCGGGAGAGGGAUGCAGAAUUCCAGGUGUAGCGGUGAAAUGCGUAGAUAUCUGGAGGAAUACCGGUGGCGAAGGCGGCAUCCUGGACCGGCAUUGACGCUGAGGAGCGAAAGCUAGGGGAGCAAACGGGG
rnacentral:rRNA from 1 species